rnacentral:rRNA from 1 species
UAGGGAAUCUUCGGCAAUGGGGGCAACCCUGACCGAGCAACGCCGCGUGAGUGAAGAAGGUUUUCGGAUCGUAAAGCUCUGUUGUAAGAGAGGAACGUGUGUGAGAGUGGAAAGUUCACACAGUGACGGUAACUUACCAGAAAGGGACGGCUAACUACGUGCCGG